UGGGGAAUCUUGCACAAUGGGGGAAACCCUGAUGCAGCGACGCCGCGUGAACGAUGAAGCCCUUCGGGGUGUAAAGUUCUUUCGACAGGAACGAUAAUGACGGUACCUGGAGGAGAAGCUGCGGCUAACUACGUGCCAGCAGCCGCGGUAAUACGUAGGCAGCGAGCGUUGUUCGGAGUUACUGGGCGCAAAGAGUGCGUAGGCGGCGAGCCAAGUUUGGUGUGAAAUCUCCCGGCUUAACCGGGAGGGUGCGCCGAAAACUGGUUGGCUGGAGUAUGGGAGAGGAAAGCGGAAGUCCUGGUGUAGCGGUGAAAUGCGUAGAUAUCAGGAGGAACACCUGCGGUGUAGACAGCUUUCUGGACCAAAACUGACGCUGAGGCACGAAAGCGUGGGUAGCAAACA
rnacentral:rRNA from 1 species